rnacentral:lncRNA from 1 species
CCUCUUUGUUAUUCCCAGGCCCUUCAUCGAAGUUGAGUGAGUAACUCAGAGGGUCAUAUUGGAAUUUCGCAUUUCUCCCGCUUUUGUUCCGAUUGAACCGUCGGAUGAAAGUCUUCCAUCUUGGUCCGGCUACGAUCUCCGACCAUUCUCGAAGCUUCUUUAGAGCGUUGAUUCCUUUGGCCCAUACAGACCCUUCCUUGACCGCGCCGCUGCGUAUCUUAUGCCACCACUCCAAGUUAACACGCCUUGUUAAUUGAUUUGUAGAACUGAAAGAUGGGAAGCAGAAA